rnacentral:lncRNA from 1 species
UCGAGACAGGGUUUCUCUGGCUGUCCUGGAACUUACUCUGUAGGCCAGGCUGGCCUCGAACUCAGAAAUCCGCCUGCCUCUGCCUCCCAAGUGCUGGGAUUACUGGCAUGUGCCACCACUGCCCAGCCUAGAAUUCUAUUUUUAGAAAAGAUAUUUUUUAUGUGUGGAUCGGUGUGAGUAUGUGCACAUGAAUACAGUGCCUACAGAGACCAGAACAUGAGAUGUCCUGGAAUUGGAAUUACAGGCAGUUGUGAGCUGUCUGAUAUGGGUGCUGAGAGAUGAACUCAGGUUGUCUGUAAGAGCUUACAUACUCUUAACUAUCAAGCUGUUUCUCCAGUCCCUACAGAACUCAUUCUUUAAAAUUCUCUUUUAAGGGCAUUUCAUAGUUGAGUAAUGAAAGAAGGUGGGAUUAAGAUGUACAUGAAGUAAUUCUAAAGAUCAAGGGCAAACUGUCUCUAAGGCCUCCAUAUUGAGGCCUUAUCACAGUCCUGAAGCAUGGAUUUGGAGGUAGUCUAAAAGAUGGCUCACAGUGCACCAGCAGUUGACCAGGAGAUACUGAACUAGAAUCUGAGGACAGCACCAGGUGGUGCCUCAGCCUGCCCCUUGGUGACACUAAGCCAUGAAGUCUGACCUAAAAGAUGUCAGAGUGUAGUAUAGCAUACGAGUUUCUGUUUUUCUUACUAGUUACCAUAAUGGCAGAGGCCCACUGCAUUGUGGGAAGCCUCCCUGGACAAUCUCAUUGCAAGCUUAGGAGAUGAAUCUGUGCGGCUAACUAACAUGUUCCCUCAGCAGCCUCAGAGAGAGGCUCUCUAAUUCUAGACAAGCAGUAUUUAAUUUUAAGAAUGAUACCCUCUUUUCUCCUGUGAAGGCCAUUACUUUUUUCAGAAUGAACUUUUUGCCCAAGCUGGAAAAUAGGAAAUAAUUUAAUCAGAAGUGACAGAACUUGAUAUUAAAAAACCUUUAUAUUUUCAUCUGAAAUUGAAUACUUAUCCCAUUUCUAAAAUUGAAUUGCCUUAUUUACCAAGUUGAAAGAAAAUGAUUCCCUGUAGUGUUUAAGAUAUGUAGUGAUUACUAAAAAACAGCACUUAGAAAUG